AGGGUAAAAUACCAAAUCAAACUUGAGAGUUUGAUCCUGGCUCAGAGUGAACGCUGGCGGCACGCCUAACACAUGCAAGUCGAGCGAGAAACUAAACUUCGGUUUAGCGGAAAGCGGCGGACGG
rnacentral:rRNA from 1 species